AUUGAACGCUGGCGGCAUGCUUUACACAUGCAAGUCGAACGGUAACAGGCCGCAAGGUGCUGACGAGUGGCGAACGGGUGAGUAAUGCAUCGGAACGUGCCCAGUCGUGGGGGAUAACUACUCGAAAGAGUAGCUAAUACCACAUACGAUCUAUGGAUGAAAGCGGGGGACCGUAAGGCCUCGCGCGAUUGGAGCGGCCGAUGUCAGAUUAGGUAGUUGGUGGGGUAAAGGCUCACCAAGCCAACGAUCUGUAGCUGGUCUGAGAGGACGACCAGCCACACUGGGACUGAGACACGGCCCAGACUCCUACGGGAGGCAGCAGUGGGGAAUUUUGGACAAUGGGCGCAAGCCUGAUCCAGCAAUGCCGCGUGCAGGAAGAAGGCCUUCGGGUUGUAAACUGCUUUUGUACGGAACGAAACGGCUCUGGUUAAUACCCGGGGCUAAUGACGGUACCGUAAGAAUAAGCACCGGCUAACUACGUG
rnacentral:rRNA from 1 species